rnacentral:rRNA from 1 species
UACGGAGGGUGCGAGCGUUUGUCCGGAAUCACUGGGCGUAAAGGGCGCGUAGGCGGCCUGAUAAGUAGGGGGUGAAAUCCUGCGGCUUAACCGCAGGGCUGCCUUCUAAACUGUCAGGCUUGAGCACAGUAGAGGCAGGUGGAAUUCCGGGUGUAGCGGUGAAAUGCGUAGAUAUCCGGAGGAACACCGGUGACGAAGGCGGCUUCCUGGACCGACACUGACGCUGAGGCGCGAAAGCUAGGGGAGCAAACGGG